rnacentral:rRNA from 1 species
UACGUAGGCAGCAAGCGUUGUUCGGAAUUACUGGGCGUAAAGGGCUCGUAGGUGGCCCCAUAAGUCAGACGUGAAAUCCCUCGGCUCAACCGAGGAACUGUGUCUGAGACUGUGGGGCUUGAAUCCGGGAGGGGGAUGCGGAAUUCCAGGUGUAGCGGUGAAAUGCGUAGAUAUCUGGAGGAACACCGGUGGCGAAGGCGGCAUCCUGGACCGGUAUUGACACUGAUGAGCGAAAGCCAGGGGAGCAAACGGG